GUUGUUUUCUUGUUAUUAUCAUAACAUAGUUACGUUUGUAACAUCUUCUUCCCGUAGUUUCAUUUUCAAUGUUACAUAUAUACGUUUGUGACGUUUUCUUAUUGUAGCCUCGUUUUUAUUGUAAUUGAAACAUGCUCACGUUUUUGACGUUUUGAUAUUGUAGCCUCGUUUUAAAACUGACAUGGUUACGUUUGUGACGUUUUCUUAUUGUUGCCUCGUUUUCGUCGUUACACGGUUGCGUUUGGGACGUUUUUUUCUUUAGCCUCAUUUUCACUGUUUCAUAGAUACGUUUGGGACGUUUUCUUACUGUCGCCUCGUUUUCAGCUCUAAGUUUGCGUAGCAUCGCUUUCAUCGAAACAGGGUUUGUUUAAGUCACGUUUUCAUCAGAAAACGAAUGCGUUUGUGAAUGUAGGGGAGUAAGUUGUUGACAGUAUGCAAUUGGCAGUAAGCAGUUGACAGUAAGCAGUAGGCAGUUAACAGUAGGCAGUAUUCCAUCUGUUACUUUCCUACCAAGUGCGACAUUUAGCGUCAAGGGGUUGCGACAUUAAGCGGCAAUCGAUUUUUGUGCGACAUAUAGCGGCAACGUUGCGACAUUUAGCGGUAGGCGAUUGAGACAUAUAGCGUUGAUUGCGACAUAAAGCGUCAGCGUUGCAACAUUUAGCGUUAGUUGCGACAUAUAGCGGCGUUGCGACAUAUAGCGUUGAUACAAAUGUUCUGGAAUUUUUUAUUAAAAACACGUGAACGCUAGUGGCAGUUAUAACUGAUCUAUGUGCAUAUAGAGGUCCAUACGUUCAGUCUAUCUGCUAAUGAAUAUCAAACUGUAUUCGGAAAAUGUUUUAAUGCAAUGUGUAAAUAUUCCUGUACAUUGACAAAUCAAAAUAGUUGCCUUUUAUGAGGACACGUACG